CCAAUGGGUGGAAUCCUGAUCCAGCCAUGCCGCGUGCAGGAAGAAGGCCUUCUGGGUUGUAAACUGCUUUUGCCAGGGGAUAAAAAGCUCAUGCGUGAGAAAUUGAAGGUACCUGGUGAAUAAGCCACGGCUAACUACGUGCCAGCAGCCGCGGUAAUACGUAGGUGGCAAGCGUUGUCCGGAUUUAUUGGGUUUAAAGGGUGCGUAGGCGGUUCUAUAAGUCAGUGGUGAAAUCCGGCAGCUCAACUGUCGAUGUGCCAUUGAUACUGCAGAACUUGAGUACAGACGAGGUAGGCGGAAUUGACGGUGUAGCGGUGAAAUGCUUAGAUAUCGUCAAGAACACCGAUAGCGAAGGCAGCUUACUAGACUGUAACUGACGCUGAUGCACCAAAGUGUGGGG
rnacentral:rRNA from 1 species